UAUCAAAAUAUAUGCCGUUCG
rnacentral:piRNA from 1 species